rnacentral:rRNA from 1 species
GGUCUCCGUUGGUGAACCAGCGGAGGGAUCAUUACCGAGUUUAAACUCCCAAACCCCUGUGAACAUACCUAUACGUUGCCUCGGCGGAUCAGCCCGCGCCCCGUAAAACGGGACGGCCCGCCGCAGGAUCCACAAACCCUGAAUUUUUAUUGUAACUUCUGAGUCUAAAAAACAAAUAAAUCAAAACUUUCAACAACGGAUCUCUUGGUUCUGGCAUCGAUGAAGAACGCAGCAAAAUGCGAUAAGUAAUGUGAAUUGCAGAAUUCAGUGAAUCAUCGAAUCUUUGAACGCACAUUGCGCCCGCCAGUAUUCUGGCGGGCAUGCCUGUUCGAGCGUCAUUUCAACCCUCAAGCCCCCGGGUUUGGUGUUGGGGAUCGGGAAUCGCGGCUUCUGCCGCCUCCCGGCCCCGAAAUCUAGUGGCGGUCUCGCUGCAGCCUCCAUUGCGUAGUAGCUAACACCUCGCAACUGGAACGCGGCGCGGCCAAGCCGUUAAACCCCCAACUUCUGAAUGUUGACCUCGGAUCAGGUAGGAAUACCCGCUGAACUUAAGCAU